rnacentral:rRNA from 1 species
GUUGUAUGGUUAAGUGACUAAGCGUACACGGUGGAUGCCUUGGCAGUUGGAGGCGAUGAAGGACGUAUUAACUUGCGAUAAGCCUAGUCAAGCUAGUAAAAAGCACUUGAGACUAGGAUUUCCGAAUGGGGAAACCCACCUGCUUGCAGGUAUCGUUAACUGAAUACAUAGGUUAACGAGGCGAACGCGGAGAACUGAAACAUCUAAGUACCCGUAGGAAAAGAAAUCAACCGAGAUUCCGAAAGUAGCGGCGAGCGAAAUCGGAACAGCCCUUAAGCUUAUUAUGUGUUAAUGGAAGGCUGCUGGAAAGCGCCACGAUACAGGGUGAUAGUCCCGUACAUGAAAAGACAUUUUAAGUGAAAUCGAGUAGGUCGGAGCACGUGAAACUUUGACUGAAUAUAGGUGGACCAUCAUCUAAGGCUAAAUACUCCCAACUGACCGAUAGUGAACCAGUACCGUGAGGGAAAGGCGAAAAGAACCCCUGUGAGGGGAGUGAAAUAGAACCUGAAACCGUGUACGUACAAGCAGUAGGAGCCCACUUGUUGGGUGACUGCGUACCUUUUGUAUAAUGGGUCAGCGACUUAUAUUUUGUAGCGAGGUUAACCGAUUAGGGUAGCCGUAGGGAAACCGAGUCUUAACUGGGCGAAUAGUUGCAAGGUAUAGACCCGAAACCCGGUGAUCUAGCCAUGAGCAGGUUGAAGGUUGAGUAACAUCAACUGGAGGACCGAACCCACUAACGUUGAAAAGUUAGGGGAUGACUUGUGGUUAGGAGUGAAAGGCUAAUCAAACCGGGAGAUAGCUGGUUCUCCCCGAAAUCUAUUUAGGUAGAGCCUCGGACGAAUACUUACGGGGGUAGAGCACUGUUAAGGCUAGGGGGUCAUCCCGACUUACCAACCCUUUGCAAACUCCGAAUACCGUAAAGUAAUAUCCGGGAGACACACGGCGGGUGCUAACGUCCGUCGUGAAGAGGGAAACAACCCAGACCGCCAGCUAAGGUCCCAAAGUCAUAGUUAAGUGGGAAACGAUGUGGAAAGGCCCAGACAGCCAGGAGGUUGGCUUAGAAGCAGCCAUCCUUUAAAGAAAGCGUAAUAGCUCACUGGUCGAGUCGGUCUGCGCGGAAGAUGUAACGGGGCUAAACUAUGCACCGAAGCUGCGGAUUCAUCUUAGGAUGAGUGGUAGGGGAGCGUUCUGUAAGCCGUUGAAGGUGACCCGGGAGGGUUGCUGGAGGUAUCAGAAGUGCGAAUGCUGACAUGAGUAACGAUAAUGGGAGUGAAAAACUCCCACGCCGGAAGACCAAGGGUUCCUAUCCCAUGUUAAUCAGGGUAGGGUAAGUCGACCCCUAAGGCGAGGCCGAAAGGCGUAGUCGAUGGGAAACAGAUUAAUAUUUCUGUACUCGAUAUAAUUGCGAUGGGGGGACGGAGCAGGCUAAGCAAGCAUGGCGUUGGUAGUCCAUGUGAAAGUGAGUAGGGCGUUUGUUUAGGUAAAUCCGGACGAACAUUAAACCUGAGACACGAGACGAGUCAC